rnacentral:rRNA from 1 species
ACUCCACACAUGGGAUCAAUUGGAUAUCAUAACGAGGAAGGUCGUAAAAGAAUACGAAAGUUUUUUAUGUUACCGAAUUUAUAUAUUUUUUAUAUAGAUGACCCUUUGGACUUAAGCAUAUCAUUAAAAGGAGGAAAAGAAACUAACUAGGAUUUCUUUAGUAGCUGCGAGUGAACAAGAAAUAACCCUCAAUUGUAAUCCAAUUUCAUAUUGGAGAUGUAAAUUUUAAAUAUUAUAUCUUAUUAUUUUCAUAGAGGAAUAAAUAUUUUUAUCCGUUAGAUUAUAAUAGUUUUAUAAGUAUUUUUUUGAGUAGGGCUGUUUGGUAGUACAGUUUGAAUAUAGGUAGAAUAAAAUAUCUAAGGUUAAAUAUAAUGAUAUACCGAUAGAAAAUAAGUACUGCGAAGGAAUUUGUGAAAAUGUGUGGAGAAAAGCCUUAUUUUUAAGGACCCGUCUUGAAACACGGACCAAGGAGUUUAUAAUUAUAGCGAAAUAAUAAUGUUUUUUAGUUGUUAUUAAUUUGAUUAGUUAUGAUUAUAAGACCCGAAACACAGUGAACUAUACAUGUUUUGACUUAAGAUAAAUGACAAUUUAUUGGAAGGUCUUAGUCAUUCUGACGUGCAAAUCGAUGAUGAAAGAUGUGUAUAGUGGCGAAAGACCAAUCGAACUGUGUGGUAGCUGGUUCACAGCGAAAUGUCUCUCAGGACAGCAGUUAUUUUUAUAUAGGAAAUAGAUGUAGAGCACUGUUAUAAAAAUUAUUUUUAUGACAAACUUCUAAUUCUAUUGGUAAAUAUAUCAGAUUUAUUUUGAUUGUGUUUGUAUCUAUAUUUAUAACUAGUGGGCACAUGAUUGUAAGAAUGAUGUGCAAAAAGGGAUGAACCUUAUGAAACAUUAAAUAUUCUAAAUACUAGAUAUUAUACCAUAAAUAUGAUGAAUACAUUGAGACAGUAGGGCGGUGGUUAUGGAAGUAGAAAUCCGCUAAGAAACGUGUUACAACGUACCUACCGAAUGUAUUAUUGUAUAAAAUGGAAGAAGAUUACUAGUUUUAUGAGAUGUUUCUGUCUUAAUAUUUAGGUAGCUGUGCAAUUUGUUUGUAUUGAAGUAUAUAUUUGAAUAUGUAUGGAAGAAACAAAUGAGCCGAUCUUGGAGGUAGUAACAAUAUAUUUGUAUAAAUACAGACAAGGGUUUUCAUUUAUAAAUGAAGUGAAUCGGUGUUAUUUAAAAACAAAAUAGAUUAAUAAUUCUAUAUUAUAUUACUUAGAGGUGACUUGAUUAUGACAGUAUCUUUAACAAUAUUUAAGAAUAAUGAAUUAAAUAUUUAUAUAACUAUGGAUUGUCAUGAUAAGAAAUAGUUAUUAUUGAUGCUUGAUAAAAAAGAAGUAAUAGUUUAACCGUACCAUAAACCGCAUCAGGUGUCUAUGUAUUAUAACAAAUAUUUUAAAUUAAAGUAAGUAAGGGAAUUCGGCAAAUUAGAUCUGUAACUUUGGGAUAAAGAUUGGCUCUAGCAUGCUAGAACUUUUACUAUGUAAGGAAUCUGACUGUUUAUUAAAAACAUAGCUUUUUGUAUACAAGAAGUGAAUUCUGCCCAGUGCAUUUUUCGUUAAAGUUGUGUAAGCAAGUGUAAACGGCGGGAGUAACUAUGACUCUCUUAAGGUAGCCAAAUGCCUCGUCAUUUAAUUGGUGACGCGCAUGAAUGGAUUAAAGAGAUUCCCGCUGUACCUAUCUACUU